GCUGUUUCUGUGGAGAUCUGGCAUGAGACACUGCCAUGGUCCUUGGAGCUGCUCUUCCUGGACUUGUGUUUUUAAUGUUGCAGAGGACCUGGGCACAGUAUGGGCCACCACCCCAGCCUUCCAUCUGGGCAGUUCCAGGAGCUGUGGUUUCCAAAGGUAGUGAUGUAACCAUCUUCUGCAGGAUCCCUCCAGGA